UACAGAGGUCUCAAGCGUUGUUCGGAUUCAUUGGGCGUAAAGGGUGCGUAGGUGGCGCCGUAAGUCAGGUGUGAAAUCCCGGGGCUCAACCCCGGAACUGCACUUGAUACUGCGGUGCUCGAGUACUGGAGAGGAGAUUGGAAUUUACGGUGUAGCAGCGAAAUGCGUAGAUAUCGUAAGGAAGACCAGUGGCGAAGGCGAAUCUCUGGACAGUUACUGACACUGAGGCACGAAGGCCAGGGGAGCAAACGGG
rnacentral:rRNA from 1 species